GGCCGAGUUGACUUGUGGCCGAGUUGACCUGCUUUCGGCCUACCCUAGGCCCUAGUCUAAAAAAGAUUUUUUCGGAAAAUCUGUGUGGAAAUUGGCCCUUAUUUUUCCAAUUGCGCGGACGGUUUUUAUGGUGUACAUGUGGAAACUGCGUCGUGGAAGAGAUGUGGGGAAAUCGUUCCUGUUGUCAAGAAAUUGAAAAGGUUAUGCAAAAAAACAAUGAAGAGCCAUACCACAAUGGAGCAUUACCACACAUCCUUGGUUUGAACCAGCCAUCUUAAAUCCUGCAACACUACAAAUUUCAUUUUGGCAGUAUGUUUCACAAUACUAGUAGCCUGUGACCGAAGGGGGAGUCGAAAGGCGUUACAGGUAUUCAGCCUAUCGGAAAUUUGUACGUUGGUGCUGGGGUUAUCUUGGCAAAGACAGGCGAGUGGUGAUGUCGUGUAAUGAAGUCCAUACAUGAGACAUUUCCUGAACCCAGUGCCAACUACACAGGGUUUAAAUAUCCUCCCCAGACAGGUGAAUUUUAGCUUCUCCUUUGACCAGAGGCUCCUCAUGCUGUAGCUAUGUUAAUGUAUUGCCAGUAUGAAUUACUAUGUCUGUGUUAAAUUUUAUCUAUUAAAAUUGUAUAUUUUAACAAUAAUUUAUUUUUGGUUAAUUACAAUGCAAUUCAACUAUAUAUAUAGAAUUCCCUGGAAUUGAGGUGUUUUUUGUUCAUAAAUAGGCCUAUACAAUCUGCAUAUCAUUCACUAUGGUUAUAAAAUAGACUGUGAAGCAUAAUUCCAAUAGCUUAUGAAUUACAGAGCAAACAAUACAGUGUAAGAUGUAAAAUUGUAUGAUUCAAUUUUCCUGAUGAUACUAGGCACCUAUUUAUUAACAAAAUUAAGGCAUUACACUAUACCAGGUUUUGUGUGCUUCGUAAUAGCAUAUUUAUUUUAGUAAUACAGUAUGUCCAACAACCUUAAAAACAAUAUGCAUGUCUUUUUUUUUUUCUUUUUUUUAAAUGUAAAUAGUAUUACUACUGUACUAUAUACUGUAUAAUUGCAAUUCAAUUAAAAUCAUUUACAAUUUGAUUAAUGAAAUACUUGUUUGAUUACUAUUGCAGUAUUCAUGCUACAAGAGACUCUCAUGAUAUGCCUGUAUUAUUUAACACUGACGAACUCUUAUUAUUUUUUCACAAAAUGGGACAACUUUUGCUAAGUACUGAAACAAAGUGAAGACACUUUUCACUAAUUUACAGUUAGAUUAUGAUUGCAGUAUUCAUGCUAAAGCAUGCUUUAUUUUAUCAUUAAAUGUAAAGAUUAGUACAUGUAAUAAUAAAUAUAAUUGUUAUCCAAUUUAAUUUGUUUAAAAAAUGAUUAAUGGUAAUUGCUUGUUUAUUGCAAUAACAGUAUUAUCAUUUCAAAAAACCCUUAUAUAUGAAUUAUCUUAGUAAAUAACAUAAUUGGUUAUAUAAAAUUAUUUUCCAUGAUUUUUUUCUACACAAAUUCAACACAUCAGAAUGCAAUUUAGUCACCAGAAACUACCUUUUGUUCUCUUUCCAAAAAAGAUAUAGAAACAUUUAAUAAGUGGGUAGAAUUUGUUAAUACAAUGUGGAAGAUGUUGUUUGGAAACAUGUCACAAGACAUUAGUAGGUAUUUAACUAUGCAAGAUAACAAGAACUACCUCAUAAGAAAUGUUUAAAGUACAAUCAGGUACAAACCAAAAGCUUUUUCAAAUAUUGAAGCCUAGGUUAAGGAUAAAGGCCUGUUUAUACUUCAAGGAUAACGAUCUUAUAACGUUUAUAGCACAGUAAUAUACUGCUGUACAAUAACAAUUUUCUGUAAAUGUGUGUGAAAUUAAGAACAAAAUAGAGCAAUGCUGGAAUCGGCAAAAAAUAAUAACAGUGAGCCUGGGCAUAAUUUGAAUGGUUCUUAUAAAAAAAAGUGUAACAUGGUCAUGUUACUGUAUGGCUAUACAGUAUUUAAUUUCUGUUGAAUCGGCUGAGUAAACUGGACACGACUAAUUUUUGUCUGGUUUCGGUAAUUUCCGAGCAAUUGUUCCCGGCUCGCACAUUAUUUCAGCAGUGUAAAAAACUCUUUCAUAUUACUUUUUGUCAUGUACAAAGCCAUUUCAAUUAUGUUC
rnacentral:lncRNA from 1 species